rnacentral:rRNA from 1 species
UACGGAGGGUGCAAGCGUUAUUCGGAAUCAUUGGGCGUAAAGGGCGCGUAGGCGGUAUGUCAAGUCAGAUGUGAAAUCCCGGGGCUUAACUUCGGAGGGUCAUUUGAAACUGACAUACUUGAGUUCGGUAGAGGAAUGCGGAAUUCCUGGUGUAGCGGUGAAAUGCGUAGAUAUCAGGAGGAACAUCAGUGGCGAAGGCGGCUUUCUGGCCCGAUACUGACGCUGAUGCGCGAAGGCAUGGGGUAGCAAACGGGG